rnacentral:rRNA from 1 species
UUAAGCGACUAAGCGUACACGGUGGAUGCCCUGGCAGUCAGAGGCGAUGAAAGACGUGCUAAUCUGCGAUAAGCGUCGGUAAGGUGAUAUGAACCGUUAUAACCGGCGAUUUCCGAAUGGGGAAACCCAGUGUGUUUCGACACACUAUCAUUAACUGAAUCCAUAGGUUAAUGAGGCGAACGGGGAACUGAAACAUCUAAGUACCCGAGGAAAGAAAUCAACCGAGAUUCCCCCAGUAGCGGCGAGCGAACGGGGAGGAGCCCAGAGCCUGAAUCAGUGUGUGUGUUAGUGGAAGCGUCUGGAAAGGCGCGCGAUACAGGGUGACAGCCCCGUACACAAAAAUGCACAUAUUGUGAGCUCGAUGAGUAGGGCGGGACACGUGGUAUCCUGUCUGAAUAUGGGGGGACCAUCCUCCAAGGCUAAAUACUCCUGACUGACCGAUAGUGAACCAGUACCGUGAGGGAAAGGCGAAAAGAACCCCGGCGAGGGGAGUGAAAAAGAACCUGAAACCGUGUACGUACAAGCAGUGGGAGCACGCUUAGGCGUGUGACUGCGUACCUUUUGUAUAAUGGGUCAGCGACUUAUAUUCUGUAGCAAGGUUGACCGAAUAGGGGAGCCGAAGGGAAACCGAGUCUUAACUGGGCGUUAAGUUGCAGGGUAUAGACCCGAAACCCGGUGAUCUAGCCAUGGGCAGGUUGAAGGUUGGGUAACACUAACUGGAGGACCGAACCGACUAAUGUUGAAAAAUUAGCGGAUGACUUGUGGCUGGGGGUGAAAGGCCAAUCAAACCGGGAGAUAGCUGGUUCUCCCCGAAAGCUAUUUAGGUAGCGCCUCGUGAAUUCAUCUCCGGGGGUAGAGCACUGUUUCGGCAAGGGGGUCAUCCCGACUUACCAACCCGAUGCAAACUGCGAAUACCGGAGAAUGUUAUCACGGGAGACACACGGCGGGUGCUAACGUCCGUCGUGAAGAGGGAAACAACCCAGACCGCCAGCUAAGGUCCCAAAGUCAUGGUUAAGUGGGAAACGAUGUGGGAAGGCCCAGACAGCCAGGAUGUUGGCUUAGAAGCAGCCAUCAUUUAAAGAAAGCGUAAUAGCUCACUAGUCGAGUCGGCCUGCGCGGAAGAUGUAACGGGCUAAACCAUGCACCGAAGCUGCGGCAGCGACGCUUAUGCGUUGUUGGGUAGGGGAGCGUUCUGUAAGCCUGUGAAGGUGUGCUGUGAGGCAUGCUGGAGGUAUCAGAAGUGCGAAUGCUGACAUAAGUAACGAUAAAGCGGGUGAAAAGCCCGCUCGCCGGAAGACCAAGGGUUCCUGUCCAACGUUAAUCGGGGCAGGGUGAGUCGACCCCUAAGGCGAGGCCGAAAGGCGUAGUCGAUGGGAAACAGGUUAAUAUUCCUGUACUUGGUGUUACUGCGAAGGGGGGACGGAGAAGGCUAUGUUGGCCGGGCGACGGUUGUCCCGGUUUAAGCGUGUAGGCUGGUUUUCCAGGCAAAUCCGGAAAAUCAAGGCUGAGGCGUGAUGACGAGGCACUACGGUGCUGAAGCAACAAAUGCCCUGCUUCCAGGAAAAGCCUCUAAGCAUCAGGUAACAUCAAAUCGUACCCCAAACCGACACAGGUGGUCAGGUAGAGAAUACCAAGGCGCUUGAGAGAACUCGGGUGAAGGAACUAGGCAAAAUGGUGCCGUAACUUCGGGAGAAGGCACGCUGAUAUGUAGGUGAAGCGACUUGCUCGUGGAGCUGAAAUCAGUCGAAGAUACCAGCUGGCUGCAACUGUUUAUUAAAAACACAGCACUGUGCAAACACGAAAGUGGACGUAUACGGUGUGACGCCUGCCCGGUGCCGGAAGGUUAAUUGAUGGGGUCAGCGCAAGCGAAGCUCUUGAUCGAAGCCCCGGUAAACGGCGGCCGUAACUAUAACGGUCCUAAGGUAGCGAAAUUCCUUGUCGGGUAAGUUCCGACCUGCACGAAUGGCGUAAUGAUGGCCAGGCUGUCUCCACCCGAGACUCAGUGAAAUUGAACUCGCUGUGAAGAUGCAGUGUACCCGCGGCAAGACGGAAAGACCCCGUGAACCUUUACUAUAGCUUGACACUGAACAAUUGAGCCUUGAUGUGUAGGAUAGGUGGGAGGCUUUGAAGUGUGGACGCCAGUCUGCAUGGAGCCGACCUUGAAAUACCACCCUUUAAUGUUUGAUGUUCUAACGUUGACCCGUAAUCCGGGUUGCGGACAGUGUCUGGUGGGUAGUUUGACUGGGGCGGUCUCCUCCUAAAGAGUAACGGAGGAGCACGAAGGUUGGCUAAUCCUGGUCGGACAUCAGGAGGUUAGUGCAAUGGCAUAAGCCAGCUUGACUGCGAGCGUGACGGCGCGAGCAGGUGCGAAAGCAGGUCAUAGUGAUCCGGUGGUUCUGAAUGGAAGGGCCAUCGCUCAACGGAUAAAAGGUACUCCGGGGAUAACAGGCUGAUACCGCCCAAGAGUUCAUAUCGACGGCGGUGUUUGGCACCUCGAUGUCGGCUCAUCACAUCCUGGGGCUGAAGUAGGUCCCAAGGGUAUGGCUGUUCGCCAUUUAAAGUGGUACGCGAGCUGGGUUUAGAACGUCGUGAGACAGUUCGGUCCCUAUCUGCCGUGGGCGCUGGAGAACUGAGGGGGGCUGCUCCUAGUACGAGAGGACCGGAGUGGACGCAUCACUGGUGUUCGGGUUGUCAUGCCAAUGGCACUGCCCGGUAGCUAAAUGCGGAAGAGAUAAGUGCUGAAAGCAUCUAAGCACGAAACUUGCCCCGAGAUGAGUUCUCCCUGACUCCUUGAGAGUCCUGAAGGAACGUUGAAGACGACGACGUUGAUAGGCCGGGUGUGUAAGCGCAGCGAUGCGUUGAGCUAACCGGUACUAAUGAACCGUGAGGCUUAACCUU